rnacentral:rRNA from 1 species
CAGUGUACCCGCGGCAAGACGGAAAGACCCCGUGAACCUUUACUAUAGCUUGACACUGAACAUUGAGCCUUGAUGUGUAGGAUAGGUGGGAGGCUUUGAAGUGUGGACGCCAGUCUGCAUGGAGCCGGCCUUGAAAUACCACCCUUUAAUGUUUGAUGUUCUAACGUUGACCCGUAAUCCGGGUUGCGGACAGUGUCUGGUGGGUAGUUUGACUGGGGCGGUCUCCUCCUAAAGAGUAACGGAGGAGCACGAAGGUUGGCUAAUCCUGGUCGGACAUCAGGAGGUUAGUGCAAUGGCAUAAGC